UCGACAUGCCCGACAUUGUUUUUUUUUUUCCAUCGAUUUUCCUUCAAUUCGACGUCACGAUUUUCGUCGACGCAAACAGUUUGACAGUUCUCUUCAGCUGGUCUUGUUUGGACUUGAUUGCAACCGAAUCGAACCCGUUAUUGUUGAUGUUGGGCUUCGGAAGGAUUUUGACCGGUUGAUAGAUAUUCAGAAUUCGGUCUUCGUGGCGGUGGAGGAGGAGGACGAGACGCAUGAAUCCGGUGGGCCAGGUCUUCGUUGCGGAAGACGGGACCGGAAGGAACCGAGCUUAUGGAGGAUAUGGUUCAUUCCAAAGGAGGAGGAGGAUGAAACACCGAGUGUCAAAAUAAACAGCAUUUAAAGGAAGUGCAGAUGAAUAAUUCAAAGCAUUUUUGAUUUUGAUUAUUCGUAAAUUGAUUGAGAACCGAUUAAAAAACCGCUUUGUUAACAACUGGCGCUAAGGACCUUUUGAAAAAUAACCCGAGAAAUGUCAGCGUGCCAAAAAAUGCGCACCUCAUUUAGUUUGCAGACUUUUUAGUUCCCCAUUUGACCUGAUGAUGGCGCUGUCGGCAGUGUCGCCAAGCGACUAUAUAGGGCAAGCAACGAGUGUUGCAGAAAGAGCACCAGUCCGCAGUUAAAGAUAAAGAAAUCAUCGUGAUGAGAUUUGCAAUAGUGGAGAAAAAUCUUUUGGAUGCAAAGAACCACAUAGAGCAACUAGAAAAAAAAGAAAAGAAAAAUCUGAAGGAAACAGAAGCUCUUAAUAGCAGAAUUAAAAUAUUGAAGGAUGAAAAACAAAACGUUAAUACGCUGUUGGAAAUUAAGGUUGGUAACAUAUAUUAACGAUCUAUACCUGUUAGGAUUACAGAUUGUCAAAGGAAACAGAUUGGUCGAUGCAAAAUAAAUCGGCACUGGCAACGUAUGUUUUGCGCUUGCAACACUGCCAGUUUUGCUGUUCCAGGGUGCAAUUUAAGGUAAACAAAGCACCUUUUGCCAAUGCAGUGUGGUGAAUAUCUGAUUGUAGGGUAGUAUUGUUAUUUGUUUACAUUUUAUCUGUGAUACUUUUAUGACCUGUGAAAAGUGUAGAGUUAAGAUUCGUGCAAAUAAACGUUCUUUUUCUCAUCAAACCUCCGACCAGGCAAGUCGCCUGGCGGAGUACUCAA